rnacentral:rRNA from 1 species
GUGGGGAAUCUUGCACAAUGGGCGAAAGCCUGAUGCAGCGACGCCGCGUGGGGGAUGAAGCAUUUCGGUGUGUAAACCCCUUUCGACCCGGACGAAUGCCUCGCAAGAGGAGUGACGGUACGGGUAUAAGAAGCCCCGGCUAACUACGUGCCAGCAGCCGCGGUAAGACGUAGGGGGCCAGCGUUGUUCGGAAUUACUGGGUGUAAAGGGUUCGUAGGCGGUGUGGCAAGUUGGGAGUGAAAUCUCUGGGCUCAACCCAGAGGCUGCUUCCAAAACUGCUGUGCUUGAGUGUGGGAGAGGCGCGUGGAAUUGCAGGUGUAGCGGUGAAAUGCGUAGAUAUCUGCAGGAACACCCGUGGCGAAAGCGGCGCGCUGGACCACAACUGACGCUGAGGAACGAAAGCUAGGGGAGCAAACAGGAUUAGAUACCCUUGUAGUCC